UGCCGGGAAACUACAGGACCGAAGCAUCAUGUCCUCAUUCUGCAACAUGCCUCCUGGGUUUUCUUUGGCAG
rnacentral:pre_miRNA from 1 species